rnacentral:rRNA from 1 species
CUACGACCAUAUCACGUUGAAAACACCGGUUCUCGUCCGAUCACAGUUAACAAACGUCGAGCCCGUUAAUUACUUGGAUGGGUGACCCAUUCUGGGAAUACCGGGUGUUGUAG